rnacentral:rRNA from 1 species
AGAGCGAACGCUGGCGGCGUGCUUAACACAUGCAAGUCGAGCGGAAAGGCCCUUCGGGGUACUCGAGCGGCGAACGGGUGAGUAACACGUGAGCAACCUGCCCCUGGCUCUGGGAUAGCCUCCGGAAACGGGGAUUAAUACCGGACAUGACCCUUGACCGCAUGGUUGGGGGUGGAAAGUUUUUCGGCCAGGGUGGGCUCGCGGCCUAUCAGCUUGUUGGGGGGGUGACGGCCCACCAAGGCGACGACGGGUAG